rnacentral:rRNA from 1 species
AGCGAACGCUGGCGGCAGGCUUAACACAUGCAAGUCGAGCGGACCUUUCGGGGUCAGCGGCGGACGGGUGAGUAACGCGUGGGAACGUGCCUUCCGGUUCGGAAUAACCCUGGGAAACUAGGGCUAAUACCGGAUACGCCCUUAUGGGGAAAGGUUUACUGCCGGAAGAUCGGCCCGCGUCUGAUUAGCUAGUUGGUGGGGUAACGGCCUACCAAGGCGACGAUCAGUAGCUGGUCUGAGAGGAUGAUCAGCCACACUGGGACUGAGACACGGCCCAGACUCCUACGGGAGGCAGCAGUGGGGAAUGUUGGACAAUGGGGGCAAGCCUGAUCCAGCCAUGCCGCGUGAGUGAUGAAGGCCUUAGGGUUGUAAAGCUCUUUUAUCCGGGACGAUAAUGACGGUACCGGAGGAAUAAGCCCCGGCUAACUUCGUG